UCCUUCUCCUCUGGUCUACGAUUCGAGCUGUGCUCGUGCGCGCGCACGAUUUCGUCUUAGUUUCUAACAAGCGACCGAGCUCUGCUCUGCUCGGUGCCGGUAAAUUCGACGGUUUCAAUCGAGAUCUGUUUGUUCGUUAUAGAAGCUGAUUCAGCUGAGCCCUUAUAUUGCUGCUGCUGCUUCUAUCCAAAAACUUGCAGAAGUAGAUUGCACAUCUCAGGGAAAGCAUUCUCCAGUUGUUUUAUUUGUGAACACCAUUGCUCAGUGCUCCAUAUGCACAUUCAUAAACAUUAGUCGCCAAUGGAGCAGAGCGCCAUUGCUGAUGUAGCUUAAAAUGGUGAUCAGUGACCGACUGAGUGUGCUUGAAGUUUGAGGUGGAGUGCAAGGAGGAGGACACCCGGGUGGAGAUCUACUGCGCCGCCAAGCCGGGCCUACUGCUGUUGAUGAUGCAGAGGGAGAUGUGCUGCUGGAUCUUAUAAGGAGGUCACUCUGACAAGACUGGCUAGCUGUGAUUCUCGUGGGAAUAAAGAGGAUGGGACCUGUGAUUGUCGUGGAUCUGGAGGUGACACUGAUCAGGAAGGAAAUGAACAAAACAUGAUUUUGCCAACCUCUCAUGUAGUAUAUAAUGUACCUAUUUCAUAAAGUACAUCAGAUUACGAGUCGAGGGACUAGUCGAGACUAGUCGCUAGACUAGUCUAUGAGUCGCAUUCUGGGUGUCGACUAGAAAUCUCGUGUAGACUAGUUCGCCGAGUCAAGGAGUCGAAGGACUAGUCAUAGACUAGUCUAGACUAGUCAUGCACCUUGAGUCGUUUGACUCAAUUUUUUUUUAUUUUUUAGGGAUUGGGAGGGGAUAAGUGAGCCAGCCACCCUGCCCCUUUCCCUCCAUUGCUUAUGCUCUUCAUGGAUCUGCACUCCUCUGCUCUGGCCCUUUCCCUCCAUUGCUUCUGCUCUUCCUAGAUCUGCCUUACGGUCUCCCUCUGCUGCCUUCUGGCUACUGGAUCCGCUUGUCCCUCAGGUUGCAGUAAGCAAGCAAGCAUACUAGCAAAGUAAUUUCCCCCUUCUCUUCUUCCCUUCUUUGAUUCGAUUUUUACCCCCUGCCCUCUUCUUUAUUUCGUUUUGUUUGCUUCAGUUUCAAGAUCCUUAGGUCUAAAGUGCAAUGCCUAUGCCGGAAAUAUCUCAAGUACUGUAUUCAGCAGCUGCAGCUCAGACCAAUGAGCAAUAUGAUCCACCGAAGGAUCCUGCAAGAAGCCAGCUAGGAGCAAGGAUCCAACAUGGAAAUAUGCUUACUGGACUAAUCUGCAGGACAAAUUGACGCUCCAAUGCACUUUCUAUAGUAUAUAUUACAUAUUAAUACUAGGUUUUAGUAAUUGAUUACUGCAAGUUGUGAACUACAGUACCAUGUCGACUAGUCUAGCAGUAGUCUAGACUAGUCACGACUAGUCUAUGAGUCUCAACCUUCGAACGACUCAUCGACUCGUCGACUCGUAAACGUUGGUGCAAAUACAAGUUUGCAACUCAUGACGAUGAGUCGAGGAGUGAAAGAAGUUUGGAACUCACACAAGUGUCAUACUCGCAUGACCAAAUCAGGCUACGAAGACAAGUCUUCAUGCGCACAUGAUUGCCGAUUUUAGUUACACAGUACCAUUUAAAAAGCGGCUGCCAUUUGAUGAAUUGCUGAAGGGUGGUGGCUGGACACCAUGGGGGACAGUGUUCCAAGAUGGUUAGACGUUAGCUACUGAUUCGCAAUCUAUCAAUCCUAUCUUCAUGUAUCUGUGUGUGUUAGGUACAUCUACUUGAUUUCUUCUUCUGAUUUAGGGAGGUCUUCAGAAUCUGAGAGGAAAUUGAUGUAAAAUUUAUUUUCCUAUUCUUGGAAACUCUUGCUUAGGAAAAUCAUAAUGUUCUUUUCAUUGUA